rnacentral:rRNA from 1 species
CGGCNCCUUACCAUGCAAGUCGAACGGCAGCACAGCAGAGCUUGCUCUGUGGGUGGCGAGUGNCGGACGGGUGAGUAAUGCAUCGGGACCUACCUAGACGUGGGGGAUAACGUAGGGAAACUUACGCUAAUACCGCAUACGUCCUACGGGAGAAAGCGGGGGAUCGCAAGACCUCGCGCGGUUAGAUGGACCGAUGUGCGAUUAGCUAGUUGGUAAGGUAAUGGCUUACCAAGGCGACGAUCGCUAGCUGGUCUGAGAGGAUGAUCAGCCACACUGGGACUGAGACACGGCCCAGACUCCUACGGGAGGUAGCAGUGGGGAAUAUUGGACAAUGGGCGCAAGCCUGAUCCAGCAAUGCCGCGUGUGUGAAGAAGGCCCUCGGGUUGUAAAGCACUUUUAUCAGGAGCGAAAUCUGCACGGUUAAUACCCUUGCAGUCUGACGGUACCUGAGGAAUAAGCACCGGCUAACUCNGUGCCAGCAGCCGCGGUAAUACNGAGGGUGCAAGCGUUAAUCGGAAUUACUGGGCGUAAAGCGUGCNUAGGCGGUUCGUUAANUCUGCUGUGAAAGCCCCCNGGNUCAACCUGGGAAUGGCANUUGGAU